rnacentral:rRNA from 1 species
CCUACGGGGUGCAGCAGUAGGGAAUCUUCCACAAUGGGCGAAAGCCUGAUGGAGCAACGCCGCGUGGGUGAUGAAGGUCUUCGGAUCGUAAAACCCUGUUGUUAGAGAAGUAAGUGCGUGAGAGUAACUGUUCUCGUUUCUACGGUAUCUAACCAGACAGCCUCGGCUAACUACGUGCGAGCAGCCGCGGUAAUACGUAGGUGGCUAGCGUUGUCCGGAUUUGUUGGGCGUAAGGGGAGCGUAGGCGGUCUUUUAAGUCUGAUGUGAAAGCGUUCGGCUUAACCGGAGUAGUGCAUUGGAAACUGGCAGCCUUGAGUGCAGAAGAGGAAGGUGGAACUCCAGGUGUAGCGGUGAAAUGCGUAGAUAUAAGGAAGAACACCAGUGGCGAAGGCGGCUCACUGGUCUGCAACUGACGCUGAGGUUCGAAAGUGUGGGUAGCAAACAGGAUUAGAUACCCGGGUAGUC